CGUUCUCUUAGGUUAUAAGGUCAACGGGUGAAUGACGUUCCGUUCUCUUAGGUUAUACGGUCAAAGGGAACGUCAUUUACCCGAUGUGGCCAAUAGAAAAGAGGAGCUGUAACCUCUAACAUUAAAAACAUUUUUUUUUAUCUAGGCAAAUCAGUUAAUAACAAAUUCUUAUUUACAAUGAUGGUAACAGUGGGUUAACUGCCUUGUUCACUGGCAGAACGACAGAUUUUUUUUAACCUUGUCAGCUCAGGGAUUUGAUCCAGCAACCUUACUGGCCCAACGCUCUAACUACUAAGCUUCCUGCCAACCCCUACUUCACAUUCCCACUAUGCACAUGGAAUAGGAAACUAUGUAAAUUAUAUUAAAUCAAAUGUAUUUAUAUAGCCCUUCUUACAUCAGCUGAUAUAUCAAAGUGCUGUGCAGAAACCCAGCCUAAAACCCCAAACAGCAAGCAAUGCAGGUGUAGAAUCACGGUGGCUAGGAAAAACUCCCUAGAAAGGCCGGAACCGAGGAGGAAACCUAGAGAGGAACCAGGCUAUGAGGGGUGACCAGUCCUCUUCUGGGUGGAGGGGCAGUGAGUCAAAGCAGACGUUAUUGCCUCGCUAAAAAGUAUAACCUUCUCUAACGGAGGACUCAGCUCUCAAACUACAAAACCCAGGACAACGUCGUGAAUGAUCUAGCUACGCACGGUAGUUAUUUGAUACGUGGAACGUCGGACAGAGACUUGCUCGUAGCUAAAUAUAGCCAUGGAUCAGAUGCAGGACGGGUGGGAGAAAUUAAUAGGCGAAUAUCACAGCCAAUCACAACACUGGUGGGACAACGCUAACCCGCACCCUUCCGCCCUCCCGGAAUCCCCGAGUCGUGCCUCUCCGGGUAGCGACUUACUGCUGGGUCUGAAGAGGGUGUCUGUGCGGCUGGUCGACUGCAGGAAAACAACGGGGCUGAAUGGAACUACGAGACGAGGAGACAAAGAGGAAGAUUUAACUGAUCAAAGUAAAAGCCUGCUGGGUCUGAAGAGGGUGUCUGUGCGGCUGGUCGACUGCAGGAAAACAACGGGACUGAGCGGAACUAUGAGACGAGGAGAAGAAGAAGAUGAUGAGUGA
rnacentral:lncRNA from 1 species